rnacentral:rRNA from 1 species
CCUACGUGUGGCAUCAGUGGGGAAUAUUGGACAAUGGGCGAAAGCCUGAUCCAGCCAUGCCGCGUGUGUGAAGAAGGCCUUCGGGUUGUAAAGCACUUUCAGUGGGGAAGAAAGCCUUGGGGCUAAUACCCUCGAGGAAGGACAUCACCCACAGAAGAAGCACCGGCUAACUCCGUGCCAGCAGCCGCGGUAAUACGGAGGGUGCGAGCGUUAAUCGGAAUUACUGGGCGUAAAGCGCGCGUAGGCGGUCUGAUAAGCCGGUUGUGAAAGCCCCGGGCUCAACCUGGGAACGGCAUCCGGAACUGUCAGGCUAGAGUGCAGGAGAGGAAGGUAGAAUUCCCGGUGUAGCGGUGAAAUGCGUAGAGAUCGGGAGGAAUACCAGUGGCGAAGGCGGCCUUCUGGACUGACACUGACGCUGAGGUGCGAAAGCGUGGGUAGCAAACAGGAUUAGAUACCCCGGUAGUC